rnacentral:rRNA from 1 species
UACGUAGGCAGCAAGCGUUGUUCGGAGUUACUGGGCGUAAAGGGUGCGUAGGCGGUUGUUUUAAGUUUGGUGUGAAAUCUCCCGGCUCAACUGGGAGGGUGCGCCGAAUACUGAAUGACUAGAGUGCGGGAGAGGAGAGUGGAAUUCCUGGUGUAGCGGUGAAAUGCGUAGAUAUCAGGAGGAACACCGGUGGUGUAGACGGCUCUCUGGACCGUAACUGACGCUGAGGCACGAAAGCGUGGGUGGCAAACAGG